rnacentral:lncRNA from 1 species
AAUCCCAGACAGGGAAAGUCUGGUGUAUUGGGAGGUCAAGAUCAUCCCGGGCCAGCCUGAGCUACAUGUGUACACAUGUCCACAUCUCAAGUAAAGAAAGAAGAGAUGUAUAUGGGCCCAGGAGCGGGAGGAAACCCUUCUGCACUCAUUACAUCACUGGCCACAUCUCCAGAGAUGUGUGGCUUUGAUUCCUAAAGAAGAACUUAGCCUCAAUGAAAAGACUGCUCAACAAGACAAGAUCCAAUGCACUUGAUGAUUGAAGACCUUGGCUAAUUGUUUAUUUAAGAAAGCAAGCUGAGCAACCCAGGGGGAGCAAGCCAGUCAGUAACACCCCUCCACGGCCUCUGCAUCAGCUCCUGCUUCCUGACCUGCUGGAGUUCCAGUCCUGACUUCCUUUGGUGAUGAACAGCAGUGUGGAAGUGACACUUUGAGAACAGGAACCUGUUUGUCCUCUCCAGCUGUGCUACUCUGGGUCUGACUCAAGUUCCCUGUAAGAAGUGAAUAAGCCACAGGCCAAGGCUGUCUUCCAAGUUCCUGAUGCAAGACUGAUUCCUCAGGACAGUAGCAGGAGCUGGGAUGCAAUGACCCCAAAGAGGCCUCCACGGCCCUAAGAUGUAGAAACACCAGACAGGAGCCCAGGCCCUUGACCGACAAGGAAAAACAGAGCCCAGCGUAGCCUGCCCUGCCCCCUUACUUUGUGAUUUAACUAGCAAUGAAUUUGUAUUCUCUAAAAUCACUGCACUAUUGAGGUUGUUUGUUAAGGCAAUUGCUUUCCCCUGGUUGACUCACCCACUAAAAUUGGAAAGGGCUGAUGAAAGUGUUGUGUUUGACCUUGAAGAAUAGACAGUGCACACAAUUUCCUCAUAAAUGUAACCUAGGAAGAGGGAGCCAGUGUGCUCCACUUUCCACUGUACCACAGGACUUUGAUGUUCUCACAGCACUAACUUCGAUGUGGUCUUGAUUUGUGAGAGAUACCAGAAGCCUUCUGAGAGGAGGCAGAGAGCCUGGCAGCCCCAGCCUGCCAAGAGCAAUGGGAUGGCAGCUGCUGGUAGACUGUGGUCCUGGAUCCCAGAGGAAGCCAGGAAACUCACAAGGAGGCUGGUCAGGACCAACAGAAGUGUCUAUGGAGUCCACAGAGUAAAAAGUACCAGAGAGCAUGACUUGACUUUCCUUUGACUAAGGGCAGGACACUCGAGCUUUAAAUUGAUGCCAGGUGUGUCCCAAGGAUUCCUGUAAAAUAAUUGAAUUAUUCCUAUCCCUGUCUAGCUUACAAAUGAAUGAGACACAGAUUAUGAUUUAUUUAUUUAUUAAGCCUUUGUGCAAUUACUGGGGGAUUACAGCUAGUCUAAUGCUCUAAGGGCUAGAGUGGCUACUUCCCAGAGGCGCUCCCCUAGUACUUGGUGUUUGUGUCUUCUUAGGUUAUUCUUGCUCCACCAGCCUGUCCCCUGGGGUUGUUUCACUCCGGCAUGUGCUCCUGGUCCAUCCUAUCAAAUGUCUUCGGCAGCCACAGAGUUUAGCAUUGGAAUACAAAGUCUCACCAGACCUACCUCCCACAGGUUCCUUCUCUAAGUGAUUGAGAUGUCCACCCACUUGGGAUCAAUGCGGCUUCAGUUGUGGUUUCUAGAACAAUAUUUUCUAUUCAGAGAAGGCACCGUCAGGCGUGACAGGCGGUUCCAGGUCAUCUCUCCAGCCACCUUUCUUUGACUUGACUUGGAGGCAAGCCAAGUUUGGAAGCCAGGAGUCCUGGGGAAUCUGUACCUUCUAUAAUGGCCUCAGUGAGCAUUCUGGCUCACUGGAGAGGAACUCACAGGCGCCCUCUGCGGCAGAGGCGGGGAUCCUGAAUUCCUUCGGUGACUGCUUUGAGGUUUUUGUUUGUUUGUUUCCUUUAAAUUGAAAGGAGGCAGAGGCAGGAGGGUUGACCCAUGUUCCUCAAACUCAGUGAAUUCCAAGCCAGCCCGGAUUAGAAUUAGACUGUCCCAGGAAGACUCCACCCCCCUCCCCCCAAGAAAUACUAAAAUAAAUUGAGAAGAAAAAAAGAAAAAAGAAAGAAAAGAAAAAAAGGAAGGCAGGUUAAGUUUGAGAGAUCUGAUUCUUAGGUUCAAAUGGGGAAAUGGACAAGAAGGAGACAUCUGAGGGGGACAAGGCACACAAACUGGAUAAAAGCCAGAGAGCUGUGGGUUCUUGGUAUCUGCUUUCCUCUGGAAAUCCCUCUGCAAAGCUGGGCUUCUGAAGAGGAGAGUAGAAAUGUCUCACAGAUUAAGGGGUAUCUGUUGGGUGUAUAUGUAUGUCGGUGGAUGUGUAUAUGUGUGUAGGUGUGCAUGGGGCACUUAUAAUAACCAUACCGUUUAAAGCAAAGUUCUAAACAUAAUGUUGUGUGUGGUAUAUACAUGUGUGUGUACAUAUGUGUGACUACACACGUGCAGUCUAGAGCUUGUUUUGGGGUAUCUUCCUCUAUGACUCUCUACCUUUAAAAAAAAUUUUUUUUGAGAGAUUGUCUUAGUUUGCGUCUUAUUGGUGUGAUAAAACACUUUGAACAAACCA